UAUUAUAAAUAUGUGUGUCUCACUUCAAAACAACAUUCACAACUCUUUUCACUUUUGUAUUUUUCACAAACAAACAAAAAAAAACUCUUUCAGUUUUGUUCCAUAAAUAAACAAUGAAACGCUACCAGAAAUUAAUUCAACCCGGAUCCGUUUCCGUUUCCAAUUCAGUUAUGACCCGAACUGAAUUCGAAUUUAAUACUGGUAUCAUUAGUGUACCAUCAAACGACGUCGUUUUCUGCGGGAAAGUAAUUACUCGCAAAAGUGAACCCGNNN
rnacentral:lncRNA from 1 species